rnacentral:rRNA from 2 species
GCACAGUAGGGAAUCUUCCACAAUGGACGAAAGUCUGAUGGAGCAACGCCGCGUGAGCGAUGAAGGCCUUCGGGUCGUAAAGCUCUGUUGUUAGGGAAGAACAAGUGCGAGAGUAACUGCUCGCACCUUGACGGUACCUAACCAGAAAGCCACGGCUAACUACGUGCCAGCAGCCGCGGUAAUACGUAGGUGGCAAGCGUUGUCCGGAAUUAUUGGGCGUAAAGCGCGCGCAGGCGGUUUCUUAAGUCUGAUGUGAAAGCCCACGGCUCAACCGUGGAGGGUCAUUGGAAACUGGGAGACUUGAGUGCAGAAGAGGAGAGUGGAAUUCCACGUGUAGCGGUGAAAUGCGUAGAGAUGUGGAGGAACACCAGUGGCGAAGGCGACUCUCUGGUCUGUAACUGACGCUGAGGCGCGAAAGCGUGGGGAGCAAACAGGAUUAGAUACCCUGGUAGUCCACGCCGUAAACGAUGAGUGCUAAGUGUUAGAGGGUUUCCGCCCUUUAGUGCUGCAGCUAACGCAUUAAGCACUCCGCAUGGA